CGUCUGAAUUGAGGCAACGAAAUUGUAAUGAAUUCUUUUACGGCAACUUGUUCUUUCGUUGUAGUGAUUUUAUAAACUAGCUCUCUGAAAAUUAAUUAAGUGUUUUAUUUGAUAAAAUUUAAAAAUAAAACGUCUGUUUACGGUAAUUAUUUUAAUAUAAAGAAUGAUUUUCUCUCAUAAAAUCGUUGCGAUAUCCAGAUUGAUUUUUUGAUAUGAAUUCAGCUUAAUUGACAACCACAUCGAUUGAAAACAGCGCAGUGGACCCUUACGGCGAGACCCUGGAUCCAUUCACUUGAUUUGAUAUUUGUUGUUCAUGUCUUACAAUGUCUGUGUAGUUUGUCUUGUUCGAAGGUUUGUCUUUACUAUCGGAACACAAAAAACUGGAAUAUCACAACAAUGCAUUUCGUGCAUCCAACAUGUGUGACUCUAAUAUUUGUGUUCUGUAUACAAAAUAUUUUAAGUGAAUCACGGGUGAGGAACUACGAUGCUGUGCGAUAUGCUCCUAUGGAAGGUCUAAUGCCUCCCGUCAACCCAACAUUGGGAAUAACUCGGGAAGUCCAGUGUUACAUGUUGUGCUUGAAGGACGUCACUUGUGCUGCCUUCUCCUACAGUAAAUUGUUAUCGUUCUGCAUGUUGAUGGGGGAGAAAGCCACCGAUGACAUUAUAGCAAUUAGUAGCCCAAUGUCACAUUUUUACCACUUUACUGUCAAAGAGCUUGUGGUUUCCAAAAAUGUAUUAUUGCCACAAGGCUACAGAUGGCACGAUGAUCUUGAUCUGGCUUUGAGAUUCCAUUAUGAAAGCCAUAAAACACGUGACCAAGCCCUUGACGUAUGCACUGUGGAGGGUGGCAUCUUUGUUACCAUAGAUACUAAUGACAAGAUGGCGACUGUUUUAAAUUUACUCAAUACAAAUUCAAAAUUGAUGAGUGGUCCAGACAAUUUUUAUGUAGCGCCUACCAAUGCAACCAGUACAGCCCCAGACGGAAAAUGUGAUGUCUUAAAUCGUGGUGGAGAUUUUCAACAGGUCGACUGUAAUACACAGUUACCGUUUAUUUGUGAGAAAUCCAACAUAUGAUUAUAAUAUCGCCUAUAAUAGUUCACCCCGCGUUAAAUACUUAUAUCAACAGUUUAAGUUACGUGGUCUGCAACCGAGGCACCGCUUCAAUAAAAGUUUGUUAGCUAUGUGAAUCGCCCGUAUUAGAGGUGAAAUCAACUACUUCAAUGCACAUUAAUCCCAUUCCGUUCCCAUCCCUGGGGAUACAUUAAGUGUCAAAUUAAUUGAUUCAUUAAAACUACUUUGAACUUUUGAUUUAUUUUUAAUAUUCUAAUUAUUGGGGGGUGGGGGUGACCGAAUUGUUAGCGCGUACGCGUUGUGUCAUGUGCGCGUUGUAUCAUAAGGUCUGUCAUUGAGUCAACUGGUAUGGUUUCGAUUCCCAGGUUGUACGUGACAAGGAGUAGGGUCGCCUGUCCAACCUCGUGGAUUUUCUCCGGAUCCUCCGGUUUCCUCCCACUGCUAAAGACCCCUACGCGCACGCGAAUUAUUGAAAUAAAAUUAAACCAUAUGUUAGUCCCGAAAUGACUUAGUCUGUGUCGAGUGGAGGUUAAACCCCAUUUCUCUCUCUCUUUUUCUCUCAUCCAGCAUUAUUUUGAAAUACUAGCGACAGACAUCGCUGAUGGAGAAUGCGAUUAUAUAACCCCCCGCGACUUGGGUGCAACUUCGGAAUGGAAUGGUCCAUCACCAUUGUAUCUCACAAGGCACGAUGGCGCCAUUAACCAAGAAAAUGGAGGCGGUUAUAUUUCCUACUCGCUGCUCUAUUUUCCCGUUAUGCUACACUCUCAUUCACGAAUGGCUUUUCUGGGAGGUCUCCUGGGAAAUACUUGUCUGCGAAAUCACCUCAGAUGAAAGCGGACGCGUAACUUAUAUCAGCUGAAAUGAAUCGCACAAAACUAAUGUUCAUCACAUUAACGUAGCUAUAACUUUAAGUCAGUCGUUCUUAUGUCAAUAUAUUACUUGUGAAUGUAAGAGAAAGAGAGAAAUGGGGUUUAACGUCCACUCGACACAAACUAGGUCAUUUCGGGACUAACAUAUGGUUUAAUCUUAUUUCAUUAAUUCGCUUUCGCGUAGGGGUCUUUAGUAGUGGAGGAAACCGGAGUACCCAGAGAAAACCCACGAGGUUGGACAGGCGACCACUUGUGAAUGUAAUGUAAUAUAAUGAAAUGAAUGGGGUUUAACGUCCUACUGUUCUGCUCCGACGGGCAUACGCCAUACAGUGUGAUAUGAGGGAAAUUUUGCCCGGACAACGGCACUAUGGCCUACUCUUAUAUUGAAUUCCAACUGUCAAGGGAUCUUUUACGUGCACGCCAAUGUGUACACGGGACAUCAGUUUGUCGUCCCAUCCGAACGACUAGACAGCUGUCCUUGUUAGGCCCACCGUCCUGCAUCACUGACAAGGGGGAACCAUACCGGAAAAUCUGGAUGAACUUUCUCGGCCAAUGCAGGGAUCGAAAAUCCGAGCUCCUUGCAUCCAUGGUUCAGGCUCACGCAAGGCCUUGAUUUAUCGUAGAUGCAUCAUAUAGUGAGUUAUAAUGUGAUCAGGUUUAAUUGAUAUACUGUAAAUAUUGUUGGGUUUUUGUCAUAAUAUUUAGAAUUAAAUAAAAGCUG